CAGUCGCCGCGGUAAUACGAAGGGUGCAAGCGUUACUCGGAAUUACUGGGCGUAAAGCGUGCGUAGGUGGUGGUUUAAGUCCGUUGUGAAAGCCCUGGGCUCAACUUGGGAAUUGCAGUGGAUACUGGGUCACUAGAGUGUGGUAGAGGAUAGUGGAAUUUCCGGUGUAGCAGUGAAAUGCGUAGAGAUCGGAAGGAACAUCUGUGGCGAAGGCGACUAUCUGGGCCAACACUGACACUGAGGCACGAAAGCGUGGGGAGCAAACAGGAUUAGAUACCCCCGUAGUCCCUGUCUCUUAUAC
rnacentral:rRNA from 1 species